AUUGAACGCUGGCGGCAUGCUUUACACAUGCAAGUCGAACGGUAACAGGCCGCAAGGUGCUGACGAGUGGCGAACGGGUGAGUAAUGCAUCGGAACGUGCCCAGUCGUGGGGGAUAACGCAGCGAAAGCUGCGCUAAUACCGCAUACGAUCUAUGGAUGAACGCGGGGGACCGUAAGGCCUCGCGCGAUUGGAGCGGCCGAUGUCAGAUUAGGUAGUUGGUGGGGUAAAGGCUCACCAAGCCAACGAUCUGUAGCUGGUCUGAGAGGACGACCAGCCACACUGGGACUGAGACACGGCCCAGACUCCUACGGGAGGCAGCAGUGGGGAAUUUUGGACAAUGGGCGCAAGCCUGAUCCAGCAAUGCCGCGUGCAGGAAGAAGGCCUUCGGGUUGUAAACCGCUUUUGACAGGGAAGAAAUCUUCUGGGUUAAUACCUCGGGAGGAUGACGGUACCUGAAGAAUAAGCACCGGCUAACUACGUGCCAGCAGCCGCGGUAACAC
rnacentral:rRNA from 1 species